rnacentral:rRNA from 1 species
UGGUGGGUAGUUUGACUGGGGCGGUCUCCUCCUAAAGAGUAACGGAGGAGCACGAAGGUUGGCUAAUCCUGGUCGGACAUCAGGAGGUUAGUGCAAUGGCAUAAGCCAGCUUGACUGCGAGCGUGACGGCGCGAGCAGGUGCGAAAGCAGGUCAUAGUGAUCCGGUGGUUCUGAAUGGAAGGGCCAUCGCUCAACGGAUAAAAGGUACUCCGGGGAUAACAGGCUGAUACCGCCCAAGAGUUCAUAUCGACGGCGGUGUUUGGCACCUCGAUGUCGGCUCAUCACAUCCUGGGGCUGAAGUAGGUCCCAAGGGUAUGGCUGUUCGCCAUUUAAAGUGGUACGCGAGCUGGGUUUAGAACGUCGUGAGACAGUUCGGUCCCUAUCUGCCGUGGGCGCUGGAGA